rnacentral:rRNA from 1 species
AGUGACAAGAAAUAGCAAUACAGGGCCUAACGGUCUUGUAAUUGGAAUGAGUGAAGUAUAAACCCCUUUACGAGUAUCAAUUGGAGGGCAAGUCUGGUGCCAGCAGCCGCGGUAAUUCCAGCUCCAAUAGCGUAUAUUAAAGUUGUUGCAGUUAAAAAGCUCGUAGUUGGAUUUCUGUUGUAUAAUUUAUAAUAUUACCAAGGUAAUUAUUAUAUUAUCAACAUCCUUCCUAUUAUAUUCUAAAUAUAUAGGAAAUUUUACUUUGAGAAAAUUAGAGUGCUUAAAGCAGG